GCAAGAACAUGGGAAUUAUCGGGAUGAUCAAAAGGGUUGCUUGCCUUGUUGCUUAGAGGAGGGACAAUAUCCGUCAGACGGAUAUUCGGUGGAAUCCGGGGGUGCGGAGCCUACCGAAAUGAAUGGCAACAAUCAAUAGCAAUCAUAUGCAAACAAGAUGAUGCAUGAGCAUGAGAAUGCAAGGUGAUAAACUAUUGUAAUCAACAUGUAUUAGGUUUGAAAUUUAUUUGAAUCAUAUUCAAAUAUCAAUUCAAACGAGGUAUUCUCGGAUACCGAUUUAAUUGAUUCGACCUGAUGCUCAGAUCAACUUGAUGUUAACAUGCAUGAGAUGUCAAGUUAAGGUACUGAUUUGUAGUUAGGAUAGUGUGUGAUCAUGUCAUUCAUAAUGAAAUUUGAAUAUUUUCCAAAUUCAAUUUAUAAAGUAUUUAUAAGAAUUGGCUUAUUCAUUAAUCUACAUGUUUGGGUUCUGUAAC
rnacentral:lncRNA from 1 species